GACGAACCGUGCGAACGUUGUUCGGAUUCACUGGGCUUAAAGGGCGCGUAGGCGGACAAUCAAGUCAGGGGUGAAAGCCUCCAGCUCAACUGGAGAAGUGCCUUUGAUACUGACUGUCUCGAGGGAGGUAGGGGCAUGUGGAACUCCGGUGGAGCGGUGAAAUGCGUAGAUAUCGGAAGGAACGCCGGUGGCGAAAGCGACGUGCUGGACCUCUUCUGACGCUGAGGCGCGAAAGCCAGGGGAGCGAACGGG
rnacentral:rRNA from 1 species